GUCAGGACACUUAUUUUAGUCUUAAAUUUGAAAUUCACUUUGAUUUCCCAACAAUUCUACAUUAAGUAAAUAACCCUAUACAUUUACUCAUUAAGGCGGUUUAGCACACAUCCAAACUCUGGUGUCCCGACAAUGGGAGCAGGCACAUCCAAAAGUGGGACACCAGGGAAGUAGAUUGGGACAGCACACAACAAUCGUGACUAUCAAAACGAGAAACAACCAGAGACACCUACCCACUCAACGGACACAUUGGCACCCUACAAGACACGCAACACAUAUAGCCAUAACCCAUAACACAUUGAACGAGGAAGAGUCAAUGAUCAUAUACACA